AGACAGGAAGGUGAGGUUCGAGCUCGAACCCACAGUGGAACCAUGCAGAUAAGGGUUAAAGCUCGCUAGGCAUCAAAUUAGCUUCCUGCUUCUGCCUCGGAGGAAACCGAGUCCUCCUGCCAAGGCCGAGGAUGUGUGCGGAAAGAGGGGAUUUUGACAGGAGCCCUUAAGAUGAUGUUUUGGUUGGGCUUUCUGAGGGGGUGGCUCUUCAAUCCACAGACCUGGAUGUCGCUCUGGUUGGAAGCCUUGGUCUGAAGUAGCAGGUGGAUUUUCAGGGGCGGUGGCUCAGAGGAAGAAAGCUGAUCACGAAUGACAGGAGACCAUUCAGCCCAGCUAGCCUAAGAAGACAAGAAAGAGGUCAGGAAGAUCCCGAACAAACCCACCUGAGCUCAGGAAUGGCAAGCGCAUGACACACAGACACACGAUACAGGACUGCAACUGGGAGCUGUGAGGCAGCAGAAAAAUCUCAGUGUGAGAAGCUGCACGUUUUCACCUGGCUUCUUGUCCGCUCGUAUUGCGAUCAAACAUGGUCAGAUUUGCCCUGCAGCUUGAGAAACCCACAGAAAAUAGCCUCAGUGUGAAAUAUUUCAUCCAGUCGAGCUACAGUGGGACAGGACAACAAUGCAGCGAAUGGAGGCCGGGCCUGUGAAGGCUCUUUCCUGGGCUGUGACGGUUCUGUGAGCCUGUACCACGUCACUAGUCCGCUGUGACCGAGGUCCCUCAUGUGGCGAAGCUCUCGUCUGAACCACAUUCUCCAGGAAGCAGUCUGCCGCCCGCAGUCACCUGACCAGUCAGUGAAAGAGAAUCGCUUGGGCGACAGUUUAAAAACCCUUAUCUACAGUAUAUAUAUGAUAUAAACCACAUGAGCCGGAUGUCCAUGCGCUGGGUGAAAUGAACACUGUGGCAUGGAGAUCCGGGAGCAGCAGUAAAUACCAGCGGGACGGGAUGUGGGAGCGACAAACGGUCCACCAGGGCUGCAGAUGCUCUGAUGAGGAUUGUGGAUCAGAAGGGUCAAAUUCUGCAUUUUAGUAGCAAUGUAUUCAACCAACAUCUGUCUCCAGAGAACAUUAAUAUUCAGUUCUAUUGCUUUUUACAUACAUACAUAUAUAUAUAUUUUAGGCUUUGAUAAAAAAGAAAACAUUUUGCUCCACGAGGGAUGUAUGUCAAAAGUAAAUCUCUGGCAUUUGUAUUUAUAGAUUUAUACUGCUUUAAUCACUGAAGAGAGUCUUUUUGUGGAUAGAUAAUGAUCCGCCAACAGCACAGGAUUUUGUAUAGCGGAGAUUAAGAAUUGAGAGUUUUCAAGUAGACGUUGUAUUAAUUACAAAUAAAGAGAUUAAAUAAUUACGGCUUGCUGU